rnacentral:rRNA from 1 species
GACGAACGCUGGCGGCGUGCCUAAUACAUGCAAGUCGAGCGCAGGAAAUCGACGGAACCCUUCGGGGGGAAGUCGACGGAAUGAGCGGCGGACGGGUGAGUAACACGUAAGGAACCUGCCCUCAGGUCUGGGAUAACCACGAGAAAUCGGGGCUAAUACCGGAUGGUCAUCGGACCGCAUGGUCCGAGGAUGAAAGGCGCUUCGGCGUCGCCUGGGGAUGGCUUUGCGGUGCAUUAGCUAGUUGGUGGGGUAAUGGCCCACCAAGGCGACGAUGCAUAGCCGACCUGAGAGGGUGAUCGGCCACACUGGGACUGAGACACGGCCCAGACUCCUACGGGAGGCAGCAGUAGGGAAUCUUCCACAAUGGACGAAAGUCUGAUGGAGCAACGCCGCGUGAACGAUGAAGGCGUUCGGGUCGUAAAGUUCUGUUGUAAGGGAAGAACAAGUGCCGCAGGCAAUGGCGGCACCUUGACGGUACCUUGCGAGAAAGCCACGGCUAACUACGUGCCAGCCGCCGCAGUAAUAC